GAAAUGCGAUAAGUAAUGUGAAUUGCAGAAUUCAGUGAAUCAUCGAAUCUUUGAACGCAGCUUGCGCUCCUUGGUAUUCCUUGGAGCAUGCCUGUUUGAGUAUCAUGAAAUCUUCAAAGUAAAUCUUUUGUUAACUCAAUUGGUUUCUACUUUGGUAUUGGAGGUCUUUGCAGCUUCACACCUGCUCCUCUUUGUUCAUUAGCUGGAUCUCAGUGUUAUGCUUGGUUCCACUCGGCGUGAUAAUUUAUCUAUCGCUGAGGACACUGUAAAAGGUGGCCAAGGUAAAUGCAGAUGAACCGCUUCUAAUAGUCCAUUGACUUGGACAAUACUUUUAUGAUCUGAUCUCAAAUCAGGUAGGACUACCCGCUGAACUUAAGC
rnacentral:misc_RNA from 1 species